rnacentral:rRNA from 1 species
UACGUAGGGUGCGAGCGUUGUCCGGAAUUACUGGGCGUAAAGAGCUCGUAGGUGGUUUGUCGCGUUGUUCGUGAAAACUCACAGCUCAACUGUGGGCGUGCGGGCGAUACGGGCAGACUAGAGUACUGCAGGGGAGACUGGAAUUCCUGGUGUAGCGGUGAAAUGCGCAGAUAUCAGGAGGAACACCGGUGGCGAAGGCGGAUCUCUGGGCCAUUACUGACGCUGAGGAGCGAAAGCGUGGGGAGCGAACAGG